rnacentral:rRNA from 1 species
ACUCAAAGGAAUAGACGGGGGCCCGCACAAGCAGCGGAGCAUGUGGUUUAAUUCGAAGCAACGCGAAGAACCUUACCAGGUUUUGACAUCCAAUUAAAGCUGUGGAAACACAGUGUCUCGCAAGAGGAAUUGAGACAGGUGGUGCAUGGUUGUCGUCAGCUCGUGUCGUGAGAUGUUGGGUUAAGUCCCGCAACGAGCGCAACCCUUGUGAUCAGUUACUAACGGGUAAAGCCGAGGACUCUGAUCAGACCGCCGGGGAUAACUCGGAGGAAGGUGGGGACGACGUCAAAUCAUCAUGCCCCUUAUAACCUGGGCUACACACGUGCUACAAUGGCUACGGACAAAGAGGAGCGAAGUCGUAAGGCGGAGCGGAUCUCAUAAAAGUAGUCUCAGUUCGGAUUGUGGGCUGCAACCCGCCCACAUGAAGUCGGAGUUGCUAGUAAUCGCGAAUCAGCAUGUCGCGGUGAAUGCGUUCCCGGGCCUUGUACACACCGCCCGU